UACAGAGGAUCCAAGUGUUAUCCGGAAUUACUGGGCGUAAAGAGUUGCGUAGGUGGCAUUGUAAGUUGGUAGUGAAAGCGUUCGGCUCAACCGGAUAAACAUUACCAAAACUACAAAGCUAGAGGAUGAGAGAGGUUAUUGGAAUGCCAAGUGUAGGAGUGAAAUCCGUAGGUAUUUGGAGGAACACCGAUGGCGUAGGCAGAUAACUGGCUCAUUCCUGACACUAAGGCACGAAAGCGUGGGGAGCAAACGGG
rnacentral:rRNA from 1 species